UACGAAGGGUGCAAGCGUUAAUCGGAAUUACUGGGCGUAAAGCGUGCGUAGAUGGCAGCUUAAGUCGACUGUGAAACCCCUGGGCUCAACCUGGGACGUGCAGUCGAUACUGAGUUGCUUGGAGUUUGAGAGAGGGUGGUGGAAUUCCUGGUGUAGCGGUGAAAUGCGUAGAGAUCAGGAGGAACACUAGUGGCGAAGGCGGCCACCUGGCUUAAAACUGACGUUGAGGCACGAAAGCGUGGGGAGCAAACAGG
rnacentral:rRNA from 1 species